CCAAUUAUUAUUGAGCUCUCCCCCCCUUCACCGGGUGGUAGGUUCUCUAACACUUGUGUGCACUGUUUAUUGUCUCUCGGCGUUCGAGGGUUGGGUAUUUGGAGCUUUGCUCCCGGUGCCCUUGGGCUUUUACGGGCCUUGGCCUACCCCUGAGCGCCAACUUAAACUUGAUUUUAUUAUACUAUAAAAUCCAAUA
rnacentral:misc_RNA from 1 species